GCAGGGGUAGCCUAGAGUCCUCGACGGGGAGCCUGGUAAGGCGCAGCCAAGUUGGCGCAUGCUUGCUAAGCCUGUGUCUCUAACGGGACUCGUGGGUUCGAAUCCCACCCCCUGCG
rnacentral:tRNA from 1 species